rnacentral:tRNA from 2 species
GGAGAGGUGCUCGAGUGGCUUAAGAGGCACGCCUGGAAAGCGUGUAGACGCCAAAAGCGUCACGGGGGUUCGAAUCCCCCUCUCUCCG